rnacentral:rRNA from 1 species
GCCUACGGGGCGCAGCAGUGGGGAAUAUUGCACAAUGGGGGAAACCCUGAUGCAGCAACGCCGCGUGAGUGAAGAAGUAUUUCGGUAUGUAAAGCUCUAUCAGCAGGGAAGAAGAUGACGGUACCUGAGUAAGAAGCCCCGGCUAACUACGUGCCAGCAGCCGCGGUAAUACGUAGGGGGCAAGCGUUAUCCGGAUUUAUUGGGUUUAAAGGGUGCGCAGGCGGAUUUUUAAGUCAGCGGUCAAAUCGUGGGGCUCAACCCCAUCCAGCCGUUGAAACUGGGGAUCUAGAGUGUGCGAGAGGUAU